rnacentral:rRNA from 1 species
UACGUAGGGUGCGAGCGUUAAUCGGAAUUACUGGGCGUAAAGCGUGCGCAGGCGGUUUUGUAAGCCAGAUGUGAAAUCCCCGGGCUUAACCUGGGAAUGGCAUUUGGGACUGCAAGGCUCGAGUGCGGCAGAGGAGACUGGAAUUCCUGGUGUAGCAGUGAAAUGCGUAGAUAUCGAGAGGAACACCUGCGGCGAAGGCGGGUUGCUGGGCUGACACUGACGCUGAGGCGCGAAAGCCAGGGGAGCGAACGGG